rnacentral:ncRNA from 2 species
CUCUUAUCAAGAGCAGGCGGAGGGAUGAGCCCUAUGAAGCCCGGCAACCGGCUUACUUUUAGCACGGUGCUAAUUCUUACAGCAGUUCAUGCUGAAAGAUAAGAA